CAAAAGUUAAAACUGUUUUUUAACUUUUAACUAAAAAAACUAAGAAUCGAUUCUUAAAUAAGGACUUUAAGAACCGGUUCUUAGCUUUUUUAGUUAAAAAUUAAAAAACAGUUCUUAACUUCCG
rnacentral:pre_miRNA from 1 species